ACGGCCAUACCAUGCUGAAUAUACCGGUUCUCGUUAGAUCACCGAAGUCAAGCAUCAUUGGGCGCGGCCAGUACUUGGGUUAGUGACCACCUGAACACACCGCGUGCCGUU
rnacentral:rRNA from 1 species